GAUUCACUUGAGGCAUCUAAAGAAAGUACCAAGCGCUGAUUGGACCUUCAUGCCAUUUGGUGACCUGAAAGUAAAGAUUUCCUGGAAUUGAAGCAGAUGACAUGUGAUGAGAUGGCUUUCCUAAGAUGUUCAGACCAGAGUGAGUGCAUAGCUUUUUUUCACAUUCAUAAAGGCAUCAGUAACAAGCAAUCCAAAACAGUUGUGAAGAGGACCUGGGAUCAAACACUGAAACACACAUUUUGAAGAAAUAGUCUUCAAAGGAUAUUUUGAAGGAGUGGCCAAAUAGGUAACUUAAAGAAGCAAGAAAGAGAACAGUCGGGGAGUAUGGGAAACAAAGUCUCCAAAAGCAAUACACAAAAUGUAUAAAUUUGCAAAAGAAAAGGUGAGAUCCUGACAAGGUCC